rnacentral:rRNA from 1 species
UACGAAGGGGGCUAGCGUUGCUCGGAAUCACUGGGCGUAAAGCGCACGUAGGCGGCUUUUUAAGUCAGGGGUGAAAUCCUGGAGCUCAACUCCAGAACUGCCUUUGAUACUGAGAAGCUUGAGUCCGGGAGAGGUGAGUGGAACUGCGAGUGUAGAGGUGAGAUUCGUAGAUAUUCGCAAGAACACCAGUGGCGAAGGCGGCUCACUGGCCCGGUACUGACGCUGAGGUGCGAAAGCGUGGGGAGCAAACAGG